rnacentral:rRNA from 2 species
UCGAGAAUCUUCCGCAAUGGGCGCAAGCCUGACGGAGCGAUGCCGCGUGAGGGAAGAAGGCCUUCGGGUUGUAAACCUCUGUCACCCGGGACGAAAUCAAUGACGGUACCGGGAAAGGAAGCCACGGCUAACCACGUGCCAGCAGCCGCGGUAACACGGGGGUGGCGAGCGUUAUUCGGAUUUACUGGGCGUAAAGGGUCCGCAGGGGGCCUGCCACGCCCGCCGUGAAAUUUCAGGGCUCAACCCUGAACCUGCGGCGGGUACGGGCGGGCUGGAGUGCAGGAUGGGCAGACGGAAUUCCAGGUGUAGCGGUGGAAUGCGUAGAUAUCUGGAAGAACACCGAUGGCGAAGGCGGUCUGCUGGCCUGCAACUGACCCUCAGGGACGAGAGCGUGGGUAGCAAACAGG